GAGGCCAGCAGGCCUCCCCACUCCUCCUGCCUCCGCCCCCCCUGGGCUCCCUUGUCACCCACUCCUCUCUGUCCACCCCAGGAUCUGGGCUCCGCCAGAGGGAUGGGCCAGGCUCACGGUCUUUGGCCUCAGACCCCAGCACAUUGCUAACGGGCUCGGCCAGUUACCGAUUAGCCCGGGGUCCUGGGCAUCCGUGUCCCCCGCGGCCAGCCGGACCUGCCCCACCGGCCUGGCUUUGUGAAAAUGAGCAACGCAAUGGAGUCCGGAGGGGUCUUUGAGCACCGUGAGCUCGUAGAUGCGGCCGAACUGCUCGAAGAGCGGCUUGAGGUCCUUCUCGUCCAGGUUGCGCGGGAUCUGGCCCACGAAGAGCUUGAUGGCGUCCAGGGAACACCACGAGGCCACGAAAUGGAGCGAUGCCCUGCCACACACUUCACGUGGACUGACCCCGGACACACGGUGCUCAGUGAGAUGGCAGACACACAAGGCCACACGAUGUGACCCCAUUUCUGUGACACGUCCACAGCAGGCGAAUCCACAGACAGAACGUGGGUUUGUGGGGGCUGGGAGCUGGGGAGUGAAUGUUCAUGGGGAUAGGGCUUAUUCUGGGGGGAUGGAAUGUUCUGGAAUUAGAGAUGAUGGCUGCACAAUUUGUGAGCAUACUGAAUUGUUUAUAAAGAUAUUUAAUGGAAUAUUUAAAAAAUAAAAA